GACGAAGGAGAGCGGUGUUCAAGGGCUCGUGACGCAACGACGAUGCAAGAAGGGGUAGGGCCGAACGCCGCACGUGGCAUCCAGCCCUAUCAUCCGGAGGCCUUGACGUGGUAAACUAAGUACAUGACCUCUUCCACUAUUCCAAAAACCUCUCGCGAGUCGCGCUGAUGACCGAAGAAGAAGUGCCUGCGGGCCUGAAGCUGCUGCUGAAGAAGGGGCUGCAGCUGUUGGAAGAGCUGCUGUACCGUCUUUUACGUUCUCGUUUCCUGUGUGUACGAGCUCUAUAAUUCCCUCCUAGAUCACGGUUAGACCAUGUCUUCGUCUUGAAGGACGGGGUGUUCAAGUUCUUGUUCCCGUUAAAACUACCAUUUCGUUUCAAACUACCCUUCUUGUUUCGUCACGUUGUGUGCUUGAAGUUCUUCUUCUUACUGUUCUUCUUUCCACAAACAGUACACACACCCCUAGGACUAGUAACCCGAGGAUCAACGGGAUUAGCGAUACUGUUCGCAGUAGGACCCUUUCCGCCGUUCUGACGAUUACAACAGUAACCUCUGUGACUGUACUUCCUACGACCCAUACCAUAUAAAGGGUGAUAAGAUAGUCAUACAGUAAGAGGUCUAACCAACUAACUGUGCCCACGAUUACACGUACAUACGCCACUAUAAAGAUACAAAAGCAGAAUAGUCUGGUGUCCCUGAAGUUGGUACGACUACCCGUUGUCAAGUUCACGAAGACAAACACCACAACCGUGCCAGCUAGACUUCAAAUGAAGCCCCUUCUAGCGCGCCGACUUCUUGCACGUAAUACAGGGGGGGCAGUUAUUUUUAGAACAAUCGCCUAGAGAAGACACAUCUCUACCGAUGUUCGAACAGAAACUCAGCUUAUUUAAACAUUAUAGGUUCAUACCUUGGAAACAACCAUUUCCGAUACUCAGUCCUCCGGACAAAGCAAAUAGGAAUAGUCUGUAAACAUUAUUUCAACAAUUAGUACAAACGUUGUUAUCACUUA
rnacentral:rRNA from 1 species